GACCCGCAUUGUGACCCAAUUGUUUUAUUAUCUGUAUAUCAUAUUUUAGUAGUUGAUUAUACUCUGAGCUGCUGUGAAGUUACUUUGUAAUUAUUUAAAGUAAUUUUCUUUCAAGUUGUGCAGAAAGAAUAGUGUGAUCAACAGCUCCCUCCCCCCAAAAGAUCUUAUGGUUGAGUCGUGAAAUAAUAAUUAUGUCCUGUGACCAUUGACUGUGAUGCCCGUGCCUACCAUUAUGGGGAUGCUCAAGAUGCAGUUAAGUCCAGCUACAAU